GUAACACGUGGGUAACCUACCUACAAGCGGGGGAUAACAUUCGGAAACGGAUGCUAAUACCGCAUAGAUCUUUUUGUCUCCUGGCAGAAAGAAGAAAGACGGUUUCGGCUGUCACUUGUAGAUGGACCCGCGGCGCAUUAGUUAGUUGGUGAGGUAAUGGCUCACCAAGGCGAUGAUGCGUAGCCGACCUGAGAGGGUGAUCGGCCACACUGGGACUGAGACACGGCCCAGACUCCUACGGGAGGCAGCAGUAGGGAAUCUUCCGCAAUGGACGAAAGUCUGACGGAGCAACGCCGCGUGAGUGAAGAAGGUUUUCGGAUCGUAAAACUCUGUUGUUAGAGAAGAACAAGGAUGAGAGUAACUGCUCGUCCCUUGACGGUAUCUAACCAGAAAGCCAUGGCUAACUACGUGCCAGCAGCCGCGGUAAUACGUAGAUGGCAAGCGUUGUCCGGAUUUAUUGGGCGUAAAGCGAGCGCAGGCGGUUCUUUAAGUCUGAUGUGAAAGCCCCUGGCUCAACCAGGGAGGGUCAUUGGAAACUGGAGAACUUGAGUGCAGAAGAGGAAAGUGGAAUUCCAUGUGUAGCGGUGAAAUGCGUAGAUAUAUGGAGGAACACCAGUGGCGAAGGCGACUUUCUGGUCUGUAACUGACGCUGAGGCU
rnacentral:rRNA from 1 species